CUUUCUUUUUUUAUUCAAGUACACACAUAACGACUCUCUCUCUCUUCGGUAAAACACACAGGAUUGUUAUUCUCUAACCGCAUAUAUCCAAAUAUUAGGGUUUACCGGAACUUCAUCUUUCGUUUGCGGCGGCUUUCGCUUGUGUUGUCAGCUCCGGUGAGUUUUUCCGUUAGAGUUUGCGGCGGCUUUCGCUUGUGUUGUUAGCUACGCUCGACGAUAUUAUUUGGGAUGCCUUCAAUACUAUUUAUCAAGAAAAGGCAGAGAGAGAUUCUAAGCCGUUAGAUAAGAAAAAGAACAUCAUGGAAAAGGAAUCACCAUCUCAUGCACCACCUGGUGUAUUCAAUGCUUCAUGUGACGGUGAUAUUGUAAAAGACAUGCCUAAUUUGGCAUCUGACGACACUAGGAUGCCAAACAAUUGCUUCAAAAGUAGCUACGCCACAUCAGCGUCAGCUGAUAAUAACUCGUACAGUUACACACUAACGCAAGCAGGAGAUCUUUGUUUUGUUGACAGUAAUUGUGAGAAGGAAUCAGGUGAUCUUUUAUACUAUGGAUGGCCGGAUAUAGGAAACUUUGACGAUGUUGACAAGAUGUUAAGAAGUUGUGAUUCGUCGUUUGGACUAGGUGCUACCGACAAUGCUGAUGAACUUGGCUGGUUUUCAUCGGAUCAAGUUGCGGGUACCGAAGAAGCGUUAAAGAUGGAUUUUAAAUUCCUGUGUCAAGAGCCAAGUGGUUUAAAAAAUAUACUACACGCGGAUCAUGAUUCUCCGGAAUCAAAUAAUCGCAGGCCUAGGUGUAUCUUUAAAAGCAAAGAUGAGCUUAAUUUUAAAGAUCAGAAUAAGCAGUCAAAGCAUCAGAAUCAGAUGGAAGCGAAAAAAGCAGGACAAGGCACAGGAAACGAUGAUGGUUCCUUCUAUCAAACAAGUGGUUUGACAGUGAACGACAGUCGGCUGUCUUCAAACAAUAUAUCUGACCAAGUUUAUACCUCUGUAGACAAUCAGCAGCCGUAUAGAAACCUAGAAACCGAUUAUUUUGGUCACAUGCAAAGCAACACGUUUUAUCUACAUCCCGAUUAUCCCCAUCAAACUACGUCUGUUCCAAUGCUGUCGGGCAGUAGCUCUGAACAUAGAGGUCUUAAGUCUACCUCCCCAAUGGGCUCUUCGUAUACAUCCAACCAGAUUCGCUCGACGGAGAAUUCUGGUGAAGUUGAUGAGCGAAAACAAUCACGCAACUCACACGGAUUUCCAACGGGCAUGAUGUUUCAGCCUUCAAAAGGGGUUAUGGUUUCAGCUGAAAAGCAAGUUAAUCUAUCGGUAAAGGAGCGUGAAAGUGAUAUUGAAGGAGUUCCGAAAGCAGUGGAGAUAGGUUCGUUAAAUGGACCGGAAAGCUCCUCUGUUAGUUCUCGGCUGGAUGAAAUCUCGCUUGAAGCUACUAGUUUCCGCCAGCUAAGACUCGCUAUGGAACAGGUAGCCUUCAACCAUUGUUCAAUAUCAAUGUGGAUAUGUGGUCACACAAGGGUUAUAGGAUCAGAAAUUGGUAUAUCAAAUAGAAAACAUUCAUCGAGAUACUUUUCGAAAAAGAAGCAUUGAACAUAGUACUUGUUGGAUGUGAGAUCCAAACUAUGCAUACGGGACAGUCUGUACCGUUUGGCUAGAAGCGCCGAGCAACGGCAUAAUGAUCCAAUUCUAACCAGCAGUAAUGAUCUUGGUAGGCCUUUAAUGGCUGAAAGGUCUAACAAAUGCACUGGAUUCAUGGAUAUAGAAACCGAUACAAAUCCGAUAGAUCGGUCUGUAGCUCAUUUAUUGUUUCACAGGCCUUCAGAAUCACCUAAGUUGCCUACUCCAUUGCCUCCCAACCCAAAUAUGAACCAGGGGUCUAUUCGGGGAACGUCGAUGCUGGUAGAGAAGCUAGUUUGUCUGGAGGAAGCUGGAGCUGAAUCAAAUGAUAGGAUUUGUGGCGACUGAGUUAUUGUUUAUAUGUAUACUGUUGUGCAAUAUAAUGUAUAAAAUUAUCCAAGAGGCCUGGUCAUGGGUUCGCGACAUAUACGAGUAGGGCUUUUAUAGUUUCUUGGUGUAUAUCCUUUAUCGGGUUAGCAGUUUAUCUCUUCUGGUUUUUAACCUUGAUGUCUUUCAACUAAUUGUUUGUUUUUCAGUCGGUAUAUAUAGAACACUACACACCUCACGUAACGA